CCUACGGGAGGCAGCAGUAGGGAAUAUUGCUCAAUGGGGGAAACCCUGAAGCAGCAACGCCGCGUGGAGGAUGAAGGUUCUCGGAUUUUAAAACCCUUUUGGUAGAGAAGAUAAUGACGGUAUCUAACGAGUAAGCACCGGCUAACGCCGUGCCAGCAGCCGCGGUAAUACGGAGGGUGCAGGCGUUACUCGGAAUCACUGGGCGUAAAGAGCGCGUAGGCGGGGUAGCAAGUCAGAUGUUAAAUCAUAUGGGUUAACCAUAGAACUGCCUUUGAAACUGUUAUUCUAGAGUAUGGGAGAGGUAGGUGGAAUUCUUGGUGUAGGGGUAAAAUCCGUAGAGAUCAAGAGGAAUACUCAUUGCGAAGGCGACCUGCCAGCACACAACUGACGCUGAUGCGCGAAAGCGUGGGGAGCAAACAGGAUUAGAUACCCGGGUAGUC
rnacentral:rRNA from 1 species